rnacentral:rRNA from 1 species
GGCUCAGGACGAACGCUGGCGGCGUGCUUAACACAUGCAAGUCGAACGCUGAACCCACUUCGGUGGGGGAUGAGUGGCGAACGGGUGAGUAACACGUGGGUAAUCUGCCCUGCACUCUGGGAUAAGCCUUGGAAACGGGGUCUAAUACCGGAUAUCACUUCAUCAGGCAUCUGGUGGGGUUGAAAGUUCUGGCGGUGCAGGAUGAACCCGCGGCCUAUCAGCUUGUUGGUGGGGUAGUGGCCUACCAAGGCGACGACGGGUAGCCGGCCUGAGAGGGUGACCGGCCACACUGGGACUGAGACACGGCCCAGACUCCUACGGGAGGCAGCAGUGGGGAAUAUUGCACAAUGGGCGAAAGCCUGAUGCAGCGACGCCGCGUGAGGGAUGACGGCCUUCGGGUUGUAAACCUCUUUCGCCAGGGACGAAGCGCAAGUGACGGUACCUGGAUAAGAAGCACCGGCUAACUACGUGCCAGCAGCCGCGGUAAUACGUAGGGUGCGAGCGUUGUCCGGAUUUAUUGGGCGUAAAGAGCUCGUAGGCGGUUUGUCGCGUCGGCCGUGAAAACUCAACGCUUAACGUUGAGCUUGCGGUCGAUACGGGCAGACUUGAGUUCGGUAGGGGAGACUGGAAUUCCUGGUGUAGCGGUG